rnacentral:rRNA from 1 species
AUACGUAGGGGGCAAGCGUUAUCCGGAUUUACUGGGUGUAAAGGGAGCGUAGACGGCACUGCAAGUCUGGAGUGAAGGCCCGGGGCUCAACCCCGGGACUGCUUUGGAAACUGUGGAACUGGAGUGCAGGAGAGGUAAGUGGAAUUCCUAGUGUAGCGGUGAAAUGCGUAGAUAUUAGGAGGAACACCAGUGGCGAAGGCGGCUUACUGGACUGUAACUGACGUUGAGGCUCGAAAGCGUGGGGAGC